UACGAAGGGGGCGAGCGUUGUUCGGAAUUACUGGGCGUAAAGCGUGCGCAGGCGGUUUUGUAAGUCAGAUGUGAAAUCCCCGGGCUUAACCUGGGAACUGCGUUUGAAACUACAAGGCUAGAGUGUGGCAGAGGGGGGUGGAAUUCCACGUGUAGCAGUGAAAUGCGUAGAGAUGUGGAGGAACACCGAUGGCGAAGGCAGCCCCCUGGGUUAACACUGACGCUCAGGCACGAAAGCGUGGGGAGCAAACAGG
rnacentral:rRNA from 1 species